UACGUAGGGUGCACGCGUUGUCCGGAAUUAUUGGGCGUAAAGAGCUCGUAGGCGGUUUGUCGCGUCUGCUGUGAAAACUCGGGGCUUAACUCCGGGCCUGUAGUGGGUACGGGCAGACUAGAGUGCGGUAGGGGAGACUGGAAUUCCUGGUGUAGCGGUGAAAUGCGCAGAUAUCAGGAGGAACACCGAUGGCGAAGGCAGGUCUCCGGGCAUUAACUGACGCUGAGGAGCGAAAGCAUGGGGAGCGAACAGG
rnacentral:rRNA from 1 species